UUGCUUCCGGCCACGUCUCAGUUUUCUCUGGGUUCCUUCUUUUCUCUUUUCUAUUUGAUUUUGGUCUCCGGGAUUCCUGUAGGUGACUCGCCUUAACUGCUCCCUAAUUCUGGCAAUCUGUAUUCCAGAGCCGGUGCGAGGGCGGUAGGAGGGCAGCUCGGAAGAACUGAGUUCCUGGUGCGCUGGGGAUGCCUCCUUCUGCGUCCCGGUCACUCCUCAGGGCCACAGGCAGGGGGCACAGGACGCCCCUCGGCCAGGCACUCUCCUGGGCACGGUGCCAGCACGGAAGGGGGUGCCUUACUGCCCUAAAAGCCUUUGGUUCAGAAAGUCCUUCGGGACAGUUACGGGUCAACGCAACGCAACACCCAUAUUCCUGGGACGCCCCUAACGUCCUUCACCUGAGACCCGGCAGAGGCCAGUCCUGCAUGUGCCCCCCACCCAGGGGGCAUGGACGCCCUCCAAGGAAGCUCCACAUCUGCUUCAGCAAACACGGGCGGCAAACCUGUUGACUCCCCGGUGUGCUCUGGACUGGACUUGUUCCCUCAGCGGCAAGGAGAAGAGUGGGGGACGGAGUGGGGGACCCUCGCUGCUCCUGGCUGCAGCCUGUCCGUGGGAACCAAUCUUGUUCAGAGGUCAGUGCCGGCUGUGAAGAAACAUUUUCGAUUUCUUUUGUCCCGUAAGAAGCCGGGGUUAGCAGUCCUAAGGAAUUAAUCUCAGACGUUCCUACUUGAGUCUCCCUGUAGGGUUCUAGAAGUUUCCACCUCCACAGAGUUGAGGGGGCAGGUGACCUGUCCAAGAAAGGUCAGAGGGGAGGAAGCGCCGUGAGACUGUGAACGUGCUCACUUAGCCCCUCUGGUCGUCCUGGAACCUUCCCACGCCAGCUGGCCACUGCCCCUGCUGAUUAUGGGGUACUAAUAAUGGAGUGGGAAACGGGGCACCCAGGGGCGCUUCUCCAGGUGGGGUCUCCACCUGCACCCUGGGUCACCUGCUCAAGAGUCAAACCGUCAGGAGGGAGAGUCCGACCACGGGGCCCUAGGUGUGGGGUGAUGUGCCAGGAAGGUCGUGUGGCACAAAGCGAUGUGUUGGAGGGGAGCGUCCCCCAUACAAAAGAAAGGGGGUCGGGGGAUCCCUGGGUGGCGCAGCGGUUUGGUGCCUGCCUUUGGCCCAGGGCGCGAUCCUGGAGACCCGGGAUCGAAUCCCACAUCGGGCUCCCGGUGCAUGGAGCCUGCUUCUCCCUCUGCCUGUGUCUCUGCCUCUCUCUCUCUCUCUCUCUCUCUAUGACUAUCAUAAAUAAAUAAAAAUUUAAAAAAGGGGGGGUCGGGUGCAAGAAGGGAGUCUCCAUCUGACCCCGUGCCACGGGGAGCAAGCUGGAGGGGUCACAUGGGAUCUGCACGGAGGAGCCUGCUUCCUCGGGGGCAGGAUGGGGGCCUCGCUUCCUUGGUCUCUUGGGGGGACCUGGGGACCUGGAAGGAAAGAUCCUCAGAACAAAAACAGAAGGAGAAGCAGGAGGAGGGGACCUGGACAGGGAGCCCCGAGGCUGCGCCGUGCAGCGUGGCCAGGCCGCCGGGUAAGAGGAGCUUGAGCCCCGUCUUCAGGGGGUUACGGGGCUCAGGCCCCCCGGAAAGGUCAGCCUCUCGGCAGCCACACUGCUGGCAGGGGCUGUUUCUGGAAGAUUGCAGGCCAACCAAGCGCGUGGAGGGUCGCGGAUACCAGCAGCUUUGAUGGGGGACUGGGAUGGGGACUUUGUGCUCGGACAGGUGAGGGCGGUCGGAAUUGACAGAAAGGACCCAGGAGAAGCCACAUGCGGGCUCAGGCCAGAGUGAGCACCGACUUGGGACAGCCCUUGGCGGGGGAGGUGGAGGCAAGGGAGGCUGGCCUCCACGCCAGGUGCCAGGAGAGAAGGACGGGGGCACGGAGGCCACCUGGCAACGCGGAUGGCGUGGAUGGCGGCCGAGACAGCUUCUACUUUCUCCGGGAAGAAGGAAGCAAAGCCACGUGUUUAGAGUUAGGGCCGGGUGGGGUCACAGGCCGGAGCCGAGGGGAGGCCGUAAAUCAGAGCCCGAGGCCCCCCUGCACAUCUCCGGAGGCUGCAGCCUGCCCGCCACCCCUCAGAGCCACGGGUCAUGAGCCGCGACGUCACCGCGUCCCGCGGCCAGGUUUUUAUUUUCUUUUUUUUCCAAGUGUAAGAAAUUUUGCAACAUGAUAUAAAUUUGAUGAAGUCUUGAAUUGUUGUUGGGUGUUCCGCUGUGUAGGCUACACCUUACUAGCCCAGCCAGUUUUUUUUUUUUUCAUUUUUAUGAGUAUUUCCAGACAGUUGUUUUCAAACUCGGGGUCUGGCCAGGACGGCCCCCCUCGGCUCACACGUGGGAUGGACGGGACCAGCCCCUGACGGCCAACAGGCUUGGACAAAAGACGGGUGGGAAGCCACUUGCCGUUUCCAACAAUAAGAGCAAUAACGUGUCAUCACUGCUGUGUGCCCACGACGCCCGGGUGCCUCCGCACGUGUUCACUCCCUUCCGCCCACCGUCCUCGCGGCGUGACUGCGCCGGGGCUCCCCCGACUGCUCGUUCCUCCCACGUGCGUCCGGGCGGCGGCUCAUGCCGGUGGGUCCAGCAGGUUGGCCACACCUGGCUGCCUGUGCCACGUCGUACAAAGGACAGGGCUCCCUCCCGGCCCCAUGUCCCUGCCCCUCUGUCUGGACAUCAGGAUGUCAGGAGGUCGGUCCUUGGAACCCAGACACCGAGGGGAGGGAGCCCAAGCCACAGGGCCCGGGACGGGGCUGCACGGUGGGCAGCGCCGGCUUGCUAACCACGCCCAGGUGCCACCGUGGGAGUGGGUCAUCCACCCCCAACAGGGGGCCGCCUGGCUAAAAUCCUAGUGGACACCUGGCUCUGCAGCCUGUCCGGGAAAGCGGAGGCCAGAGUCGUGCACCAGCUGCCCUGGGCUCCUGCCCGCAGAAGCUGUGUGACAUACAUGACAUUCGACCCAACACCUUUGAAUGUCUGCCUCUGCCAGAGGUUUCGGUGCCCAGGCCGGAGUCUGGGGGGCAGAGGUUCCAGCAGCCGUCCCCUCCCGGUACCGGCACGUGGAGUCCCCACAAAGUCCCUGUGGGCCGCCUGCUGAGAUUAGACCUUUUCGGAUGAGGACACUGAGCCCAAAGCCUGCAGACCCGGUCACCGGACGACCCGGACGAGAGCCUAGGUCUGUCCCCGAGGCCUCCAGCCCCACGGGCUCCUUGGCCCAGUCUGUCCCGUCUCAGGCCCCAGGGACAGCAGGUCAGUGUUUCGGGCCCCACUGCUCCUGCCCCGCCUCGCGCCCCACUUCCCUCUGCCGGCCGGCCCUCCGUGCUCCCCGCUCCGGGCCCGUUGCUCUCACCCUGAGGGGCUGUUCUCCUCUGCUGGAGGCCGCCACGUGGUGGGACACCCGGCACCCCCCGGGGCCUCCCCUCCGGGCCGACCAGAGCCCCCAAGGCCUCUCCCACGGGCCCGACCCCUGCCGCGCUUCCCCAGAUUGACCCACGGCCUCUGGCCCUCGAGGCUUUCGGGGGCCUCCCCCUGCUUCCCUGGAGAGACUUUCCUAUUCACGACGCUUGCACCAGACUGUACCUCCUUCAGUCCAGCCCCACCCAGCACGUUGGAGACAUUUCCGGGAGGUUCUUUCACCUGCUCGGUUGGUUGUUGCAUUAAAGUAUAGUUGACGCACAA